CUUGGUCAUUUAGAGGAAGUAAAAGUCGUAACAAGGUCUCCGUUGGUGAACCAGCGGAGGGAUCAUUACCGAGUUUACAACUCCCAAACCCCUGUGAACAUACCUAUACGUUGCCUCGGCGGAUCAGCCCGCGCCCUGUAAAACGGGACGGCCCGCCCGAGGACCCCUAAACUCUGUUUUUAGUGGAACUUCUGAGUAAAACAAACAAAUAAAUCAAAACUUUCAACAACGGAUCUCUUGGUUCUGGCAUCGAUGAAGAACGCAGCAAAAUGCGAUAAGUAAUGUGAAUUGCAGAAUUCAGUGAAUCAUCGAAUCUUUGAACGCACAUUGCGCCCCUUGGUAUUCCAUGGGGCAUGCCUGUUCGAGCGUCAUUUGUACCCUCAAGCUUUGCUUGGUGUUGGGCGUUUUGUCUUUUUAUUAAGACUCGCCUCAAAGUAAUUGGCAGCCAGUGUUUUGGUAGUAAGCGCAGCACAUUUUGCGUCUUGGUCCCUCAACAGCGGCAUCCACAAAGCCUCUUUUUCACUUUUGACCUCGGAUCAGGUAGGGAUACCCGCUGAACUUAAGCAUAUCAAUAAGCGGAGGA
rnacentral:rRNA from 1 species